rnacentral:rRNA from 1 species
CAAUAGCGUAUAUUUAAGUUGUUGCAGUUAAAAAGCUCGUAGUUGGAUUUCGGGUUGGCUUCAGCGGUCUCGCUUUGCGUUUGUACUGCUGCAGCCUACCUUCUUGUCGGGGACGGGCCUUCGGGCUUAAUUGCUUGGGGCCCGGAGUCGACGAUGUUACUUUGAGUAAAUUAGAGUGUUCAAAGCAAGCCUACGCUCUGAAUAUAAUAGCAUGGGAUAACACGACAGGACUCUGGCCUAUCGUGUUGGUCUGUAGGACCAGAGUAAUGAUUAAGAGGGACAGUCGGGGGCAUUCGUAUUCCGUUGUCAGAGGUGAAAUUCUUGGAUUUACGGAAGACGAACAUCUGCGAAAGCAUUUGCCAAGGAUGUUUUCAUUGG